GAUGAACGCUGGCGGUAUGCCUAACACAUGCAAGUCGUAGGAGAGUUUUUAACUCUAGUGGCGGACGGGUGAGUAACACGUGAGAAUUUACCUUUAGGAGGGGGAUAACAAUUGGAAACGAAUGCUAAUACCCCAUAUGCUUUUGAGUGAAAUGGAUUUAUAUUUAUCCGCCUAGAGAGAAGCUCGCGGCUGAUUAGCUUGUUGGUAAGGUAAGAGCUUACCAAGGCGACGAUCAGUAUCUGGUUUGAGAGGACGAUCAGACACACUGGAACUGAGACACGGUCCAGACUCCUACGGGAGGCAGCAGUGGGGAAUUUUCCGCAAUGGGCGAAAGCCCGACGGAGCAAUACCGCGUGAGGGAAGACUGCCUAUGGGUUGUAAACCUCUUUUUUCAGGGAGGAAUAAAAUGACGUUAC
rnacentral:rRNA from 1 species